rnacentral:rRNA from 1 species
UACGUAGGGGGCGAGCGUUAUCCGGAAUUACUGGGUGUAAAGGGAGCGUAGACGGCGAGGUAAGCCUGAAGUGGAAGCCCGCGGCCCAACCGCGGAACUGCUUUGGGAACUGUUUUGCUGGAGUAUGGGAGGGGUAAGCGGAAUUCCUGGUGUAGCGGUGAAAUGCGUAGAUAUCCGGAGGAACACCGGUGGCGAAGGCGGCUUACUGGACCAUAACUGACGUUGAGGCUCGAAAGCGUGGGGAGCGAACAGG